GGAGGAAUAGCUCAGUUGGUAGAGCAUCGGACUGAAAAUCCGUGUGUCGGCGGUUCGAGUCCGCCUUCUUCCA
rnacentral:tRNA from 1 species